UACGGAGGGGACUAGCGUUGUUCGGAAUUACUGGGCGUAAAGCGCACGUAGGCGGAUUUGUAAGUCAGGGGUGAAAUCCCGGGGCUCAACCUCGGAACUGCCUUUGAUACUGCAAAUCUCGAGUCCGGAAGAGGUGGAGUGGAAUUCCUAGUGUAGAGGUGAAAAUUCGUAGAUAUUAGGAAGAACACCAGUGGCGAAGGCGGCUCACUGGUCCGGUACUGACGCUGAGGAGCGAAAGCGUGGGGAGCAAACAGGG
rnacentral:rRNA from 1 species